GAUUAGAGUUUAUAAUAAUUAUACAAAAUGUUUACAAACAUUUUCAAAUGCUAAUAAAAGAAUCCCCACUCUCCCUCCUCAUUACAUUGUUAUUUUGCUUUCUAACAUAAAUGUUUUUGUUUAUAGAUUAAUGCAAGAAUGAUGAAUAAAUGUACUGGAUAUUGGCUAGAUAAUUUGUCAGAACAACCCACUUGCAAGACAAUCUUACCUAAAUUCAUUAGUAUGGAUAAUAACUUAACAGCAACCAAUAAUCAUAUAUUAUAUGGAUGAAUCAGAUCAAUGGCACACAAUAUGUACAAAACUAAACUUGUGAUAUCUUCUACUCAAACCGAUAUUCUCCCACAACACAAAUUGUUUUUGUGUGGAUAUGCUGUGUUAAACCGAACAGUGUGGUAUAUCAUAUUUAACUGUGCACAGGAUUUGAACUGAAUUAUAUACUUCACUCAUGACCUUCAAAACAUUCUCUACUAUUCAGUGGUCUUCGAUAUAUGAUUGACUCUUUGCUACAGUAAUGCAUGUUCCUCGAAUAGUUUGUGUAUGUUACUCAACAGUUAACGUUGGCAAGUGUAAACAACAAGUGACAGAACUUUUGCUUCAUAUGAUUACAAUAAAGUUUUGAAAAUUUGAGUAUGGAUUGAAUUCACGAGUGGCAGUUUACUAAACAGCCGGCUGUAUAGACACUUCAAAUAUUGUUUGCAUGAAAUUUUUAUUUCCUUACUGCAUAAUUAUCCGUUACAAUAUAAUCACAUUAUAAAAUUAGCUAAAUUUUGUAUUAUGUUUGACUUUAAAAUCUCAUUUGCUAUUAUAUUUAUUAUAAUAAGUGAUGAAAUGUUUAAAUUGCCCCAUGUCAUCUUCAUUAUUCAGUUCCUUUCAACAAAAAUACAAAAUGUGAAUCAAGUUUUUUCGCAGAUACAUGUAUGCGUCGCGUACCUAUUUUUUCUUCUAUUGCAUAAGCUUGUUGGCGAGCCAAACGAUUGGCGACAACAGGUACGUUGGCUAUAUCCUCGUCUUUCUUGUUUAAAUAAAGAGCUCUGACUCAACUGUGAUUCUUUAGUCUCGCAAGUUAUUUUCUUUGUAGAAACACCCGCUUCUGUUUAAUAGUUGUUUACGCUUUAUUGAUCUGAUGCAAUUUUUCGCCCUUUGUUUUGAGUGUAGCCAUCUAUUCUGUGUAGCACCUUAUACAGUCAAUGUAUAAUGAAUACUCGCGUACGGUCUAAAUAAUAUCGAUAGGCACUUAAUUGAAUGCUGGUAAUGCAUAACAUCAAUUAUAUAUUGCGUAGAAUCGGCAAAGUUUUCUCAAUAUUCAUGUCUGAAAAUUAAAUGUUUAUAUAUUUGAAAACAACACUGUCUCGCUCCUUCCUACGUGCUACCCCUGUAUAAUAAAUAUACCGUGAAAAUAAUAUCGGCACUCAAUUGAAUGCCUAGAGGCUGGAAUCUCAAAGAUUUUCGACUCAAUAUUUUAUACGUCUGAAGUAUUUAUACACUUGAAAAAAAGUCCUGUCUAGCUCCUUCCUAGCUCUGUAUAAUGACCGUCUAAAUAAUAUUGGCACUUAGUUAAUUGAAUGUCCGUAAUGCAUAACAUCAAUUUAUAUAUUGCGUAGAUUCUAUAUAAAGAUUUACUCAAUAUUCACGUCUGAAAUGUUUAUACAUUUGAAAACAACACUAGUGUCGC